GGCCAAAGCACUUCUGGUGAUCUCCUCUCC
rnacentral:piRNA from 1 species